CAGUAGCCACGGUAAUACGUAGGGUGCGAGCGUUAAUCGGAAUUACUGGGCGUAAAGCGUGCGCAGGCGGUUCGUUAAGACAGAUGUGAAAUCCCCGGGCUUAACCUGGGAACUGCAUUUGUGACUGGCGAGCUAGAGUAUGGCAGAGGGGGGUAGAAUUCCACGUGUAGCAGUGUAAUGCGUAGAGAUGUGGAGGAAUACCGACGGCGAAGGCAGCCCCCUGGGCCAAUACUGACGCUCAUGCACGAAAGCGUGGGGAGCAAACAGGAUUAGAUACCCCGGUAGUCCCUGUCUCUUAUAA
rnacentral:rRNA from 1 species